UCAUGAUCCCUGUGCAGCGAUGUCCUUGAGGUUCAUGUCUUUCUGGGUUCCUAACCGAGGGAAUUCCUAAGCCUGGGUUGAGUGUGCCUGCCUCCCACGUGGAUUUGCUUUUCGUGUCCACCCGGUUCUUCUGAGUGAUACCCAUCUUGGUCUCAUGUGAUCAUUUUUUCAUAGUUUGGAAUGUCCUGGGCCAUAGAAGUGUUCUCCAGGGACAAAUAAACAAAACAAAACAAACAAAACAAAACAAAAAAACACAAGAAGAAAGAAAACCCAAGAAGCCCAGCGCACUGCCCAGGGAGCAUUUGCGGAUCUCAGUAAGCCCGUCCCAUGGUUUAAGUGAUAUCAGGAGAAGAGAAGACAAGACUUGGGACCUGUGAACCCUUGGGAGUGGGCUGGAGAGCAGAGGAAGCCCUAGCAGAGCUGCGCCUCACUGACAAGUUUGUAGGUCUCUGGAUCCAGAGGAGCUAGCUGCACCCGAGGAGCCACAUCCAACCUAGUACAGAUCCCAAGACCCUGGACUUUGAGCCUGAUGUUGGGUUGGAGGAGACUUUUGGGGAUCUUGGGAGGAGCUAGGUGGCUGGCCAGAGGCACAGAGCACAGCUCAUUCAACACCAGAAGAACCACCCAGCUAAGGGCAGCCUGGACAGCCAACCCACAGAAUCGAGCUAAGUGAAUGCUGUUUUCGGUCACAACAUUUUGUGUUUGCCAUGCAUUGCUAUGGCAGUGGAUAGCAGAUAGAGUCACUAAGAACACAGCCACCUUCUCUGAGAAAAUUACUGUGAGGUUUG